rnacentral:rRNA from 1 species
UACAGAGGUCCCAAGCGUUGUUUGGAUUCACUGGGCGUAAAGGGUGCGUAGGCGGUCGGGUAAGUCUGAUGUGAAAUCUCACAGCUUAACUGUGAAACUGCAUUGGAUACUAUUCGGCUUGAGAGUUGGAGGGGGGACUGGAAUUCUUGGUGUAGCAGUGAAAUGCGUAGAUAUCAAGAGGAACACCAGUGGCGAAGGCGAGUCCCUGGACAACUUCUGACGCUGAGGCACGAAAGCUAGGGGAGCAAACAGG